AUUGAACGCUGGCGGCAGGCCUAACACAUGCAAGUCGAGCGGAUGAAGGGAGCUUGCUCCUGGAUUCAGCGGCGGACGGGUGAGUAAUGCCUAGGAAUCUGCCUGGUAGUGGGGGAUAACGUCCUGAAACGGGCGCUAAUACCGCAUACUUCCUGGUGGAGAAAGUGGGGGAUCUUCGGACCUCACGCUAUCAGAUGAGCCUAGGUCGGAUUAGCUAGUUGGUGGGGUAAAGGCCUACCAAGGCGACGAUCCGUAACUGGUCUGAGAGGAUGAUCAGUCACACUGGAACUGAGACACGGUCCAGACUCCUACGGGAGGCAGCAGUGGGGAAUAUUGGACAAUGGGCGAAAGCCUGAUCCAGCCAUGCCGCGUGUGUGAAGAAGGUCUUCGGAUUGUAAAGCACUUUAAGUUGGGAGGAAGGGCAGUAAGUUAAUACCUUGCUGUUUUGACGUUACCAACAGAAUAAGCACCGGCUAACUUCGUG
rnacentral:rRNA from 1 species